rnacentral:rRNA from 1 species
UACGUAGGAUGCAAGCGUUGUCCGGAAUUAUUGGGCGUAAAGAGAACGUAGGUGGCUUGUUAAGUUCGGUCUUAAAGACCGGGGCUCAACCCCGGGAAUGGACUGAAAACUGGCAGGCUAGAGGAUGUCAGAGGAUGGUGGAAUUCCCAGUGUAGCGGUGAAAUGCGUAGAUAUUGGGAGGAACACCUGUGGCGAAAGCGGCCAUCUGGGGCAUUCCUGACACUGAGGUUCGAAAGCUCGGGGAGCAAACAGGAUUAGAUACCCCCGUAGUCC